GGCUUCGUGGCUCAGCUGGUAGAGCACAUGUCAUAUAUGGGCCAUUGUCACUGGUUGGAAUCCAGCCGAAGUCC